GAUGGACACAAAAAGGCUAUGUGAAGAGACUAGUACAGGCAUACCUGUACUUGAACCAAGAGACGGCUUAAGCAGGGGAGGCCAAAAGUCCUGCCCACAAAGAAUUACAUCCCCCUUAAUCCAUGCCAGACUACCAGCCAAUCAAUGAAGCAAGUGGAGAAACUAAAGCUCAGAGAAGUUAACGGAUUGCAAAGCC